UACCACAAAUGCCCCCAAUCCAAUCUCCCACUCUCUAUUUCUCUUUCACACCCUCACUGAGUGAGUGAUUGAGAUUUCAGGGUUCAAUUUUCCAAUCCAAUCCAGCCACAACAAUGGGGGAAAACCACUGCAAUUCCAAAGGAUUUUCAAGGAUAAUGAAAUCUUGUUUUCCAAAUCCACAGCAAGAAUCUCAUCACCUGAUCAUCAAACCAUCAAUCAGAAACCGUUUACUAGAAGAUGAUCAGAAAUCUUCAUCAUUCUUCAUAUCAGUACUUCCCGAUGAUUUGCUUCUAGAAUGUUUAUCAAGAGUACCAACAUCAUCACUCUCAUCAGUUUCCCUUGUCUGUAGAAAAUGGUUCGGAAUAUUGAACUCAACGUUAUAUUUCGAUCUGCGGCGGAGUCUCGGUCAUAUCCGCCGGAAAAUCUAUGCGUUUAGCGUGACUGAUUACGGUGUUUACGCUGCUAAUCAUUGUAUUAGUAAUGAAGAAUCUGAUGAGAGUCGAGGAGAAGGUGGUACCGAUUCUUCUUCUUCUGGUGGUUGGAGUUUGGGUAGUCCGUUCAGUGCGGCCGGAAUGUUAACUCAGGGUUCGUUUUCUCAUUCGCGGGUGAUUUCGGUUGGGAAAAUGAUUUAUAUUGUGAAUAGAGAUGUUACGCUGGGUUAUGAUGUGUGGAUGGGUGUGAUUACGGUGAAAUCUCCGAUGCUUUAUCCGAGGAAGAAAUUUGCAAUGGCCAAGGUCAACGGGAAGAUUUACAUUUCCGGUGGAGCUGCACGGAAUGAGGUGGUUGAGGAGUAUGAGCCGGAGACGGAUAGCUGGAGAGUGGUUUCGGAAGCGCCGAGGAGGAGGUAUGGAUGCAUUGGAGCAGCUGUGGACGGAGUCUUCUAUGUGAUUGGCGGGUUGAAAAUCGGCGGCGGCGGUGGUGGGAAGAGUGAGGCGAUGACAAGAGGAGGGUGUUCGGAGGCGCAUUUGUAUGCGAGUUCCAUGGAUUUGUUUGAUGUGCAGAGUAGGGUGUGGAUGAGGAGCAGGACAGUGCCAGGGGGUGGAUGUGUUGUGGCGGCAUGUGCAGCUGGGGGUUAUGUUUACAUUUUGGCAAGUCAUGCUGUUGAAUUGUCUUUUUGGAGGUUUGAUGGGAGAAGGAAACGAAAUGGUGGUGGUGGUGGGUUUGGUGAGUGGUGUAGGAUGAAAAGUCCGCCGUUGCCGGCACAAGUUAGAUUGGAUAGUAGUGUCAGGUUUAGCUGUGUUGGAAUUGGUGGCGAGAAUUAUAGCGGUGGCAAUGACAAUAAGGUGGUGUUGGUUCAAGUUUUGGGAUGUAUUGAUGAUUUAUUGAGGAGAAGUGGUAGGAGUUGUAGAGGGAUGAAGGAAGGAUUGGUUUUGGUUUAUGAUGGCAAUGCGGAGGAGUGGUCAAGAGGUGUUGAUUUGCCCGAAGUUAUCCGCCGCGCUUCUUGUGUUUCCGUUGAGUGCUAAUUUGCAGUAAAUUGGAUGCUUGCUUAUGUAAAAAAGCUCAAAAACAGUACAGAUCUUUGUUCAGAAUGAACCUGGAACUAACUCGAGCAACCAGUUUAGAGUACAUCUGCAGCAAGUCAUCUCCCAGAAAACAUGGCGUGAAUUGUUGCAUUUUCAUGACAGAACAGAUGAAGUUACAAGAGCUAAAAGGCACUGUAACGCAAGAUGGAAUGAGAACAGCAGGGGUUAUAUCGAAAUUAGAAUGAACAUUUCUUAGAAUCUCGUUGUUAGAUUGUUAUUGAAUAUCUUCUUAAUUUUAGUAUGUUGUUAGAAUCUGCUACAAUUUUCAAAUGUUAUUAGGCAUUUCAUAAGUCUUGUAUCACAUGGUUCUCUAGAAUAAUGAAAGAAGUGAAUUUUUGGAUU